rnacentral:ncRNA from 1 species
GCGGAUGUAAUGUCCGCUGGGAUGUAGCCGUAUAGGCUGAACCAUAAA